CUCGGACAAAGGAGCCUCAGUUCCAGCUUCCACUUGCCUUCCUUGCUGCGCCUUUUCAGGGCGUGGAGAGGCAUGGAUGGCAUGAGGGAACGGAAAUCUGUGACUGUUCGCAUGAGAAACGUACCCCAUAGUCGGCAGCAUUUGGACGGUUGGUCCCCAGUUGCUGGUGUUUUGGGAGAGGUGUGGCCUUGCUGGAGGAAGUCCAUCACUGGGGUGGACUUAGACGAUUCUGAAACUCAUGCCUUUCUCAGUUUACUCUCUCUGCUUCCUGCUUGCAAUUUGAAAUGUGAGCUCUCAGCUUGCUGCUCCAGCCAGCACCCUGCCUGCCCCCAUGUUUUCUGUUGAAAUGGUGGUGGACUCUUAACUCUCUGGAACCAUAAGCCCAAAUAAACCCUUCCUUCCACAA